AUUGAACGCUGGCGGCAGGCCUAACACAUGCAAGUCGAACGGUAACAGGAAACAGCUUGCUGUUUCGCUGACGAGUGGCGGACGGGUGAGUAAUGUCUGGGAAACUGCCUGAUGGAGGGGGAUAACUACUGGAAACGGUAGCUAAUACCGCAUAACGUCGCAAGACCAAAGAGGGGGACCUUCGGGCCUCUUGCCAUCGGAUGUGCCCAGAUGGGAUUAGCUAGUAGGUGGGGUAACGGCUCACCUAGGCGACGAUCCCUAGCUGGUCUGAGAGGAUGACCAGCCACACUGGAACUGAACACGGUCCAGACUCCUACGGGAGGCAGCAGUGGGGAAUAUUGCACAAUGGGCGCAAGCCUGAUGCACCAUGCCCGUGUAUGAAGAAGGCCUUCGGGUUGUAAAGUACUUUCAGCGGGGAGGAAGGGAGUAAAGUUAAUACCUUUGCUCAUUGACGUUACCCGCAGAAGAAGCACCGGCUAACUCCGUGCCAGCAGCCGCGGUAAUACGGAGGGUGCAAGCGUUAAUCGGAAUUACUGGGCGUAAAGCGCACGCAGGCGGUUUGUUAAGUCAGAUGUGAGAUCCCCAGGCUCAACCUGGGAACUGCAUCUGAUACUGGCAAGCUUGAGUCUCGUAGAGGGGGGUAGAAUUCCAGGUGUAGCGGUGAAAUGCGUAGAGAUCUGGAGGAAUACCGGUGGCGAAGGCGGCCCCCUGGACGAAGACUGACGCUCAGGUGCGAAAGCGUGGGGAGCAAACAGGAUUAGAUACCCUGGUAGUCCACGCCGUAAACGAUGUCGACUUGGAGGUUGUGCCCUUGAGGCGUGGCUUCCGGAGCUAACGCGUUAAGUCGACCGCCUGGGGAGUACGGCCGCAAGGUUAAAACUCAAAUGAAUUGACGGGGGCCCGCACAAGCGGUGGAGCAUGUGGUUUAAUUCGAUGCAACGCGAAGAACCUUACCUGGUCUUGACAUCCACGGAAGUUUUCAGAGAUGAGAAUGUGCCUUCGGGAACCGUGAGACAGGUGCUGCAUGGCUGUCGUCAGCUCGUGUUGUGAAAUGUUGGGUUAAGUCCCGCAACGAGCGCAACCCUUAUCCUUUGUUGCCAGCGGUCCGGCCGGGAACUCAAAGGAGACUGCCAGUGAUAAACUGGAGGAAGGUGGGGAUGACGUCAAGUCAUCGUGGCCCUUACGACCAGGGCUACACACGUGCUACAAUGGCGCAUACAAAGAGAAGCGACCUCGCGAGAGCAAGCGGACCUCAUAAAGUGCGUCGUAGUCCGGAUUGGAGUCUGCAACUCGACUCCAUGAAGUCGGAAUCGCUAGUAAUCGUGGAUCAGAAUGCCACGGUGAAUACGUUCCCGGGCCU
rnacentral:rRNA from 1 species